rnacentral:rRNA from 1 species
GAUGAACGCUGGCGGCGUGCCUAAUACAUGCAAGUCGAGCGAACGGACGAGAAGCUUGCUUUUCUGAUGUUAGCGGCGGACGGGUGAGUAACACGUGGAUAACCUACCUAUAAGACUGGGAUAACUUCGGGAAACCGGAGCUAAUACCGGAUAAUAUUUUGAACCGCAUGGUUCAAAAGUGAAAGACGGUCUUGCUGUCACUUAUAGAUGGAUCCGCGCUGCAUUAGCUAGUUGGUAAGGUAGCGGCUUACCAGGGCAACGAUGCAUAGCCGACCUGAGAGGGGAGUCGGCCAACAGGGACCUGAGACACGGUCCCAAACCCCAGGGGAGGCAGCAGGAGGAAAUCUUCCGCAAUGGGCGAAAGCCGGACGGGACCACCCCGGGGGAGUGAUGAAGGUUUUCGGAUCUAAAAACUCUUUUAUUAGGGAAAAAAAAAUGUGUAAGUAACUGUCCACAUCUUGAAGGUACCAAAACAAAAAGCCCCGGCUAACUACGU